rnacentral:rRNA from 1 species
AUGAUCCCCUUUUCCGCAAAGCCCGCGACUUCCCAGCUCCGGCGGCGGCGCUCAUGUCUUGGAGGGAGUUGGGGCUUGAUUUGGAGGCAUGGAAGAUCCUCAAGCUCCUCGUCCUCGAGCUCCUCAUCCACCAGUUCCUCCUUUAGACCCCGAGCAGCUGCUGCGGAAGUCGACGGCGUGGGGAAGACGACCACGACAUGGGGAAGACUUGCUCCAGCCACAUGCCACUGCCCCGUGCUCGUCUUGCCGCUGCCAUUUCCCUCCUCGAACUGGCGGACUGAUGAUGGAGGACCUGCCCUCUUUGCUGCACCGGCGCCGUCGCUGCCGCAUUUGCUUCUGCUCCUACUGCCCGCUCGCCCACGCGAUUGGAGCAGGACUUGGUGCAGAGGAAUGGAGUACGAGUACGGAUACUGCUUCCGUUGA